rnacentral:tRNA from 1 species
GGGUGGGUAGCUCAGUGGUAGAGCAUCGGCUUCACAUGCCGAGAGUCACAGGUUCAAAUCCUGUUCCGCCUA